rnacentral:snRNA from 1 species
ACAGAUUUGCUGCUGGUGUUGGCCAAGUGUAGCAUCUGAUCUUAAAAGUUUAAUAUCUGAUAUACCCUUGAUGAGAGGAUUUUAUAUUAAACAGACUUUGGGUCAUGGGAUCUGGACCUGGAGCUUGCUCUGUCUGCUUCAUGCAUUGCCCCAGCAUUGCAGUGACUCUGGGAAUGGUGCACUGAUA